rnacentral:lncRNA from 1 species
CUGGGAUACAUGAGAUGCCCUCUCUGAAUAGAGCUGGAGUAGGGAGGGGAAGCAGGUUCUCUGUCAACUCCUUAGUCUCUCUGUCUUUUGCAGGCAUCUCCACGCUGAAGAAAUACUGUGAAGGUGUGAUCCAUCCCAUCUGCAUACACAAAUAUGAAGUUCUUGUGGAUAAUCCCAUUUUUCCUGCUGCAAGCUGAGGCAGAGCACAAGUACCUCCCAACCACCCUGGCCAGCACACACAUGGAUGAGCACACAGCAGGCAACAUUACCCUUCCACUGGGCUUGGAACUGGAAGAGCUGGAGGAGCUGCUCUGGUUCUUCCGCAGAGAAGACCCCUCAACAUGGAAUUACUCUGUUCUUGCGCUGUCCCUCGCGACCAUGAUUUUGGGUCUCGUUCUUCUGACCAUUAACAUUGUGCGAAACAGGUGAGACGGGAAAAUUUGACAAUCUUUUGGUGUGUGGUGGUGCCCUGAAAGCCUCCCGGGCAAACAGCCACAGGGGUUUGGCAGGGCAGGACAAGCCCUGAGUGAUGGGGAGAAGAGCAAACUCCUUUUGAACCAUUUGCUCAAUUUGUGUCACUUGGAACAAGCCCCU